ensembl:misc_RNA 7SK 7SK RNA
GAUUGUGAGGGCGAGCUGGCUUCGACAUCUGUCACCCCAUUGAUCGCCAGGGCUGAUUCGGCUGAUCUGGCUGGCUAGGCGGGUGUCCCCCUCCUCCCUCACCGAUCCAUGUGCGUCCCUCCCGAAGCUGCACGCUCGGUUGAAGAGGACGACCUUCCCCCCCCCAGGAGAGGACCAGUCUUCGGUCAAGGGUAUACAAGUAGCUGCGCUCCCCUGCUAGAACCUCCAAACAAGCUCUCAAGAAAACAUCAUUAAUUCAAUUCAUAUUACACUAUCAAAAUUUAAAAUAGAAAAUUU